GAGACUGGGCCGUGGAAGUAGGCCCGACACUCGGGAGAAGAGUCCCAGGUGAAAUUGGAAAUGAGCCAAGAGCUCGAGAGUUGCCUGCCGAAGCUGACCGGGGGCAGCUGAGAACUGAUGUGGAGGAAUGAAGAUUCCAGGAUGUGGAUGCUUGAUAAACUAAGCUACACUACAGCAGCUUACGAACCAAGGUGAGACACCGAGAGGGAGGAAUCACCAGCAGCAGGAGAGCAAGGACUCAAAGCUAUCUUCUCAAACUUCAUGAGGAGGAGAGACUACAACAAACAACUGCAGGAACUUGAGUAAAUUCACAAAACAGGAGUUCUAGAGGCUUUUGGCACCGCUACCAGCCUGGAGCAUGAAGAAGUGAUGUGAAGAUGGCAUUUCCGAGAAAAAGCGUGCUGGAGUGGCAGGAAGACACAUAGAACAAAGAUUUAGCAGAAAACAACCACCUUUCACACAACAGAAAUAGCUUAAUGCAUUCAACAAUCUG